CUGUCUCGGACACUUCACUGAAACUCCCCGGCCAUGUCUCCAGCUCUUUGAAAAGAUUGGAAAAGGGGGCUCCGCAGGAAGAGAAGAGAUGAGAGUGAGAGGGACAGCGAAUGGGAGCAGGGUAGAGGCUCUAAUAGAAAUCUGGGGAACGGCGAGAGGAAAAAGGAGAAAGUGGACGGCAGGACGUUAAAAGAAGACGCACCAGCGAAGGCGGUUAGUAGUAGAGGAGCAGCUUUAUACCUGGAUAAAACCGACGACCGAUAAGGCAGAGAGCAACGCGGCGGCCUGGUGUUUCAGAAACACAGUGGGACAUGUCGGUGUGGUGCAAGGACUGACACUGUGAUGAGAUGUAAUUUAUGGCGAGUACUGUGUGAUUAUGGGACGGUGACAGUGAUGCCUCUGCUUAGUAUGGAUACUAUAUAAUCAUAAAUGUGAUGAAUAUAAGACAGGUGAAUUAGAUUUUAAGACAUCACCCUCUUUGAAAUCUCUUCUCCUUCAUUAUGUACAUUAGUGGAGUGUGUGUUUAUAAAGCACAGUCCAAGCUAUUCCACUCAGAAAUUAAUCCAAGCAUCCAAAUUCUUUUCAGCCAUUUGUUUUGGAAAAAGCCUGUAGAAUGCUUUUUGAGAAACUGGCAGCUGAUCUUGUCAUAGCUAAGGGUCAGCAUAACACUGAGUAUUAAUAAAACAAAUAAUGCUGGGAUGGAUACUGAUGAUGAUGAUGAUAUAUACAGAUGUGGGGUGCAUAAGCUUGAAUUAUGUGUGAGAACAUACUGAAGGAGAGACACUGUCACACAUGUUUGUGUGUUUACUUGUCUGUGUAUGUGUGUGUUAGUUUUCCCUCAGAUGUUCCCUUUGACCUUUGACCCCAAAGAUGGGGUCAAGCCCUGACAAAUGAGAUGGUCCAGUUCUGGCCAGAGCUGCAAACAUUCCACAACAAUCUUAUGUCCUCCUCCUCCCCUCAUAUCCGUCAUUCCUCACCCCUUCACUCCCCGCAGUCUUCAACGGCUUUGAACAGAAGAAAAACAAAGGAGAAUGAUCUGAGAGGAGAAGCUGUGGUGAAGAUUUGGAUAUUACAACCCUGCACUUUGAAAGCGCACACUCUGUGUGUGUUUGGAAAGCCUGUCAGUGAUGUCAAGGAUGAGAAAUGUUGCAGUGUGGUUUUUUACACACGCUGCUGGCUCUAGCAUUUCCGGCAACAUUUCUCACUCUGCCUCCCUCACACCAUCCACUCUGCUGCAAUAUCCCCACAUUUUUCCAUCCUUUCAAUUCUUCCCCCGACCCUCCCCUCCUUGCCUUUUUCCCUUCCUCUCUGCUGCCCCACCCUACCUAAUCUCAACCUCUCCCUCCCUUCUCUCUGCACAUUCACUCUACCUCCUCCCUCCUUUUUCCCCCUCCACCCACUAUUUUCUCUGAUUUUCUAACAUGCCGUUCCACAGAAUGCUACCACCUGUGUUGUUAGGAGGGAAGGGGGGGGCUAUCGGCAUUCCUCUUCUGGAAGCUAGUUAAGGUAAGUGGCACCCACUAUUACACUGACACGGCAAAUAAUGGUUGUGGUUGUUGUGUUUCUAUAGGAACUUUUUUUUUGUUUUUAAUGGAAUGAGCCCCACAUCCUUAGCACAACCACCCUCUAUCAGAGCUUCAGCUACAAGUCACUGCUGUAAAAAAACACACACACACACAGUCACCAUCGAUGAACGUCAGCAGUGCAGCCACAGUGUCGCAAAGGAGCCUGGAGACCAACAAAGCUGGCUGAUACAGUAACACAGAGUGCAUCAUGCUCUUGAACUUGCUUUUAUAAUGAUGUAAGAUUACUAAGAGGCAAUGCAAC
rnacentral:lncRNA from 1 species